GCCGGUCUAGCUCAAUUGGUAGAGCGCAACUGACUUGUAAUCAGUAGGUUGGGGGUUCAAGUCCUCUGGCCGGCACCA
rnacentral:tRNA from 1 species